UACGUAGGGGGCAAGCGUUAUCCGGAAUCAUUGGGCGUAAAGCGCACGUAGGCGGUCUGUUAUGUCGGAUGUGAAAGCCCUUGGCUCAACUGAGGAAGUGCAUCCGAAACUGGCAGGCUAGAGUACUAAAGAGGAUCGCGGAAUUCCCGGUGUAGAGGUGAAAUUCGUAGAUAUCGGGAGGAACACCGGUGGCGAAGGCGGCGAUCUGGGUAGAUACUGACGCUGAGGUGCGAAAGCGUGGGGAGCAAACAGG
rnacentral:rRNA from 1 species